UUAGAGAGAGCUGAGACUGAGAAACUGUGAGAGGAUCCUACUGUAUUCAGGUGUGGGAGCAUACUUCAGUGACCAGAACUAAGUGAAGCUGCUUGUGUCUGAGACCCUGAUCCUGUCCAGAGGAACGAGGAUUGCUUCCAGGAACACGGAUGAGAGCUGAGGAGCAAAACAACAUAGACUGGGGGACCACACGUUUGUUGAAGAAGCAUUUGUUCUGUUCAGAGUCACCAGCGGAUGCAGGGCAGACCCAGGUCCGGUGGGAAAACCGCAUAUGGGGCAAAAAUGAGCUGACCGGAGUCAGCAUAUGGCUGGGAUACAGAAGUGCCCGAUUUUACCUUCCACCAUCUGUAUACGGUCCCGUAUGGGUAUAAACGUAA